GGCUCUGUGCGGCUCUCUGGCUUCUACGAUGGGAGAAAACUCAAGUUCAAGUGCGGACGUGACGUUCAGUCUGCGGUGAGAAGGGAGAGUGGAGACUGAAGAGCACUGGGGGCGACUAGUGAUAUUUGGCCUGACAGUCAGGCUGUUGGGCAGAAGAGUCCACCGUGCCAGAAGUCAUCAUGUCACACAUGCUCUGUCCACCUGAGCAACCGGAGCCCCAGCCACAGCAAUCAGGGAUGUGGUCAGAGGAAGCACAGACACAGGGAGCCUGGAUGGCAGGUCUGGAGGAUUCUGGGUCAGGGACGGGAGGUCUGAUGAAGAUAAGGUGGGACAUCGACACUGGGCCUCUUCACCGCUCACUGGUCAGCACACCGCUGCGCCCGGACGAGUGCGUGUGAGGAGAUCAGGUCUGAUCUGAGCUGAUUUUGUCGACUCUCUGUCCUCUCAACAGCAUCUCCUGACAGGCCGUCACACCAGAACCAGGACAAAGACCAGGGGGGGGGUAGAGAGGAACGGGAUGAAGGAACCCCUGUGGCAUGCUAAUAAACGCUGAGCAGCAUUUAGCACGGACGCUAGCUUAGUUGGACAUGAGAAUUCAAACAAUUUGAAGUCAGUUGUAAUCAGUGUAAUAGCUCUACUUCCACCAACACCUCUGCUCCUCAUUUUAACGGUUUCUUCACAUCUGCAUUCAUGUGGCUGUCUGUGUAGAAGUGCAAAAGCAAACAAAAAGUGUAAAAAGAAGAAGCAAAAAUGAUGUAAAUUUAUUAAACUUUUAGGGUUGAAGUGCAACAUGCUUGUAAAUCAACAGGAGAGAAGCAGUUUUCUGGCUUUUAAAGGCAUUAUGGAGGAUGGUUUUUUUUUGUUGUUUAAUUUGUCUGAUUCACAUAAAAUGAAUAUACUGACCUUUA